GAUCCCGGGACCCCAGGAUCAUGACCUGAGCCGAAGGCAGUUGCUUAACCAACUGAGCCACCCAGGCACCCAGAAGAAAUCUAUAUUGAUGGACAAGAAAACUCAGUAUCAAUAUCAAAGAGAAGAAAUGUAUCUAAGAAAGAAUUGUCUAUCUGAAUAAAUUUUAGCCGGCAGCCAGCAAUAUGAAGGCACAAUUUGGAGUGGCUUGUCCAACAACCCUAGCUGGCGUUUCCAUGCUAUUCUCUGACUCUCCACUUCCUUGAUCAUAAGACAGAAAGACUAGAUGCAAUAUCAGAAGCAUGUCAUUUUUUUCCAAAUUAAUGUAUGGAUUUAAUGCAAUAUGAGCAAAAUUUUUAACAGAGAUUUUUUUCAAUGCAAUUUGACAAGCUGAUUCUAGCAGUUUACAUGAAAGGCAAAGGGUUGAAAACAGUACAGUCACCCCUGGAAAAGAAGGGCAAGAUGAAAAUGAGAAAUACUAUGAAGCUAUAGUUCUUAAGACAAAUGAUAUUCCUGAUGGGAAAGAGAGACAAUGAAGAAGACUAGGGAACCUGGAAACAGAGCCAGUCAUUUCAGAAAAUCUGAUAGAAGACAGUGCCAAUAUUGGAGAUUAGGGAUUAUUUAAAAAAAAAGAAAUUGAAUUUAUUUCCUAUGUCAUGUCACAUAUAGAUAAUAAUUAUGUGAAUUAAGGUCUAAAAUGUGAAAGACAAACAACAAUUCGAGAAGAAAAUGCAGGAAAAUAUACUUAUGACCUAUGAUUAUGAAAAAAUAUCUUAGGCAAGACCUCCUAAAACAUAGACUUCUGCAAAAGAAAUGACAGAUACCUUGACUAUAUUUAAAUUAAAAAGUUCUGUUUUCAAAAGUCAUAAGACAAACCACAAUAUUUGCAACACACAUAACUAACAAAGAGCAGACCCCCAGGAUGCACAAAAAACUUACAAAAAGAUAAAAGAUAAAAGGCCAUUAAAAAUAUAAGGAAACGCAUGCAUUCACAAAAGAGGGACCUGAGUGGUGAGCACCAACCAGCACGUGCAUGCACACACACGCACAAAAGAAAGAGUUAACUCAAAUCAGAGAAUGCGGGAGUGACAUCAUCAUCAUGGUGGAGUAAAAGUUUUCCGCUGUCUUCCCCACAGAGAACACUGGUUUAGACAAUCACACAUAGACAAGAGAGCCUUUGUGAAAGUCCGGGAAUUCAGUGGAGACGUCCCAGCACAACACUGAGCAAAAAGAUCUGGAGCUGGAUACACUGAAGAGGGCAUGUCCCGAGCCCGCCAGCAUCACAAGCGAGGACACAGACGGCAGGCACGUGAGAGUCGCGUUGGAAAAGGCAGUCUGAUGCACUCAUCUAUUUCACCACAGUGACCACAGGUAUUUAGAUCACCUGUCCCCUGACGACCACAUAAAUUAAGCAUACAAAAGAAGGAACAAAUCAGCAUCUC